GAUGAAGAACGUAGCGAAAUGCGAUAAGUAGUGUGAAUUGCAGAAUUUAGUGAAUCAUCGAAUCUUUGAACGCACAUUGCGCCCUAUAGUAUUCUGUAGGGCAUGCCUGUUCGAGCGUUAUUGAGACCUCAAGCUCUGCUUGGAAAUGGGCGCUUGUCUUGCCUUGCAGACUCGCCUUAAAACCAUUGGCAGCUGAUUUACAAUGUUUGGUGCACAGUACAUGAGCCCAAGUGUUGCAAUGAGUGGCCCAAAAGUAUACAAUAGAAGCUUAACCUCGGAUCAGGUAGGGAUACCCGCUGAACUUAAGCAUAUCAAUAAGCGGA
rnacentral:misc_RNA from 1 species